rnacentral:sRNA from 1 species
UAAUGGAAAAACCCGCAUCUUGUAGUCC